GAUGAACGCUGGCGGUAUGCUUAACACAUGCAAGUCGAACGGGGUGCAUAGUCACCUAGUGGCGGACGGGUGAGUAACGCGUGAGAAUCUGGCCUCAGGUCCGGGACAACCACGGGAAACGGUGGCUAAUACCGGAUGUGCCAUAUUGGUGAAAGAUUAAUUGCCUGAGGAUGAGCUCGCGUCUGAUUAGCUAGUUGGUGGGGUAAAGGCUUACCAAGGCGACGAUCAGUAACUGGUCUGAGAGGAUGACCAGUCACACUGGGACUGAGACACGGCCCAGACUCCUACGGGAGGCAGCAGUGGGGAAUUUUCCGCAAUGGGCGAAAGCCUGACGGAGCAAUACCGCGUGAGGGAGGAAGGCUCUUGGGUUGUAAACCUCUUUUCUCAGGGAAGAAGAAUGACGGUACCUGAGGAAUCAGCAUCGGCUAACUCCGU
rnacentral:rRNA from 1 species